UCUGAGAAGGGACUUGACAAUGAGAGGAAGC
rnacentral:piRNA from 1 species